rnacentral:rRNA from 1 species
CGAGCGGAAACGACAACAUUGACCCUUCGGGUGAUUUGUUGGGCGUCGAGCGGCGGACGGGUGAGUAAUGCCUGGGAAAUUGCCCUGAUGUGGGGGAUAACCAUUGGAAACGAUGGCUAAUACCGCAUAACGUCUACGGACCAAAGAGGGGGACCUUCGGGCCUCUCGCUUCAGGAUAUGCCCAGGUGGGAUUAGCUAGUUGGUGAGGUAAUGGCUCACCAAGGCGACGAUCCCUAGCUGGUCUGAGAGGAUGAUCAGCCACACUGGAACUGAGACACGGUCCAGACUCCUACGGGAGGCAGCAGUGGGGAAUAUUGCACAAUGGGCGCAAGCCUGAUGCAGCCAUGCCGCGUGUAUGAAGAAGGCCUUCGGGUUGUAAAGUACUUUCAGUCGUGAGGAAGGCGUUGAAGUUAAUAGCUUCAUCGUUUGACGUUAGCGACAGAAGAAGCACCGGCUAACUCCGUGCCAGCAGCCGCGGUAAUACGGAGGGUGCGAGCGUUAAUCGGAAUUACUGGGCGUAAAGCGCAUGCAGGUGGUUUGUUAAGUCAGAUGUGAAAGCCCGGGGCUCAACCUCGGAACCGCAUUUGAAACUGGCAGGCUAGAGUACUGUAGAGGGGGGUAGAAUUUCAGGUGUAGCGGUGAAAUGCGUAGAGAUCUGAAGGAAUACCAGUGGCGAAGGCGGCCCCCUGGACAGAUACUGACACUCAGAUGCGAAAGCGUGGGGAGCAAACAGGAUUAGAUACCCUGGUAGUCCACGCCGUAAACGAUGUCUACUUGGAGGUUGUGGCCUUGAGCCGUGGCUUUCGGAGCUAACGCGUUAAGUAGACCGCCUGGGGAGUACGGUCGCAAGAUUAAAACUCAAAUGAAUUGACGGGGGCCCGCACAAGCGGUGGAGCAUGUGGUUUAAUUCGAUGCAACGCGAA